rnacentral:rRNA from 1 species
UGGGCAACCUGCCCUCAGCACUGGGAUAACCCCGGGAAACCGGGGCUAAUACCGGAUACGACCUCGGCGGGCAUCCGCUGAGGUGGAAAGUGUCAGUGGCUGAGGAUGGGUCCGCGGCCUAUCAGCUUGUUGGUGGGGUAACGGCCUACCAAGGCGACGACGGGUAGCCGGCCUGAGAGGGCGACCGGCCACACUGGGACUGAGACACGGCCCAGACUCCUACGGGAGGCA